rnacentral:rRNA from 1 species
GUACACGCUGUGACUAGCAUAUCAAUAAGCGGAGGAAAAGAAACUAACAAGGAUUCCCCUAGUAACGGCGAGUGAAGCGGGAAGAGCUCAAAUUUGAAAUCUUAAAGGGUUUCCCUUUACGAAUUGUAGUUUAAAGAAGUGUUCUCUGUUGAGGUUUUGGUAAGAGUUCUUUGGAAUAGGACAUCAUAGAGGGUGAGAAUCCCGUAUUUGACCUUUACUUUCAACUUUGUGAUACACUUUCAAAGAGUCGGAUUGUUUGGGAAUGCAGUCCAAAAUGGGUGGUAAAUUUCAUCUAAAGCUAAAUAUUGGCGAGAGACCGAUAGCGAACAAGUACCGUGAGGGAAAGAUGAAAAGAACUUUGAAAAGAGAGUUAAACAGUACGUGAAAUUGUCAAAAGGGAAGCGUUUGACACCAGUGUUGUUUUUCUGAAAAUCAAUUAAAGAACUGUUUAUGCUAAGUUGUUUAGACUUUAUCAGCUAACUGUUUAGUUUUGAGCUUUUCUUUAAUGCACUUUUCAGUUAACAAGUCAACAUCAAUUUCUUUUGCUGUAAAAAAGCUUGAGGAAGGUGGCUUGAGAUUCGUCUUAAGUGUUUAUAGCCUCUUGCCUAUGCAGUCGGAGAGAUUGAGGUCUGCAGCGUAGAUCCUUCGGGGCUAAAUGCAUUUGUGCUAAGUUAUAGCAUUUUAUAGACAACUUGUUGACUAUGAUUUGUCUUGUAGCUUACUCGCUUAUGUUAUUUUACCUACGCUUAGGAUGUUGACUGAUAUGUAGUCGUA